AACGAACGCUGGCGGCAUGCCUAACACAUGCAAGUCGAACGAGACCGUCGGGUCUAGUGGCGCACGGGUGCGUAACGCGUGGGAACCUGCCCUUAGGUUCGGAAUAACUCCCCGAAAGGGGUGCUAAUACCGGAUAAUGUCUUCGGACCAACGAUUUAUCGCCUUUGGAUGGGCCCGCGUUGGAUUAGCUGGUUGGUAGUGUAAAAGCAUACCAAGGCGACGAUCCAUAGCUGGUCUGAGAGGAUGAUCAGCCACACUGGGACUGAGACACGGCCCAGACUCCUACGGGAGGCAGCAGUGGGGAAUAUUGGACAAUGGGCGAAAGCCUGAUCAAGCAAUGCCGCGUGAGUGAUGAAGGCCUUAGGGUUGUAAAGCUCUUUUACCCGGGAUGAUAAUGACAGUACCGGGAGAAUAAGCUCCGGCUAACUCCGUG
rnacentral:rRNA from 1 species